UUGCUUUGGCAGCACUUAUACUAAAACUGGAGGAAUAUAGAGAAGAUUAUUAGCAUGGCCCCUGAUGAGAAUGACACAUAAACUCAGGAAGCUUUUAGUAUAUUU
ensembl:snRNA U6 U6 spliceosomal RNA